CAGUUAUUGACUGGGUUGUAGAACCAGAACAGAGUUACCCAAGAGACUCCUGGCUAGUCAAUGGGAAAUAUGAUUUGUACCGUCCCCCAGGUAAAAAAUGCAGCACAGUGCGAGUAGAAGGAGAAGAUGUAGUUCCGGACUGCGCGGAGGGAUACAUCUGUCGGCUUGACCA
rnacentral:misc_RNA from 1 species